UACGUAGGUGGCAAGCGUUGUUCGGAAUUACUGGGCGUAAAGCGUGCGCAGGCGGUUAUGUAAGACAGUUGUGAAAUCCCCGGGCUCAACCUGGGAACUGCAUCUGUGACUGCAUAGGCUAGAGUACGGUAGAGGGGGAUGGAAUUCCGCGUGUAGCAGUGAAAUGCGUAGAUAUGCGGAGGAACACCGAUGGCGAAGGCAAUCCCCUGGACCUGUACUGACGCUCAUGCACGAAAGCGUGGGGAGCAAACAGG
rnacentral:rRNA from 1 species